AGCUCCAAUAGCGUAUAUUAAUGUUGUUGCAGUUAAAAAGCUCGUAGUUGGAUUCCUGACCUGGGGUAGCCGGUCCGCCUUGCAAAAGGUGCGCACUGAGCGGCCUCGGUCAUCCUUGAGAAGAGCGGUCCUGGCAUUCAGUUGUCGGGGUCGGGAUUCUCGACGUUUACUGUGAAAAAAUCAGAGUGUUCAACGCAGGCUUACGCCUUGAAUACAUUAGCAUGGAAUAAUGAGAUAGGACCUUGGCGGUCUAUUUUGUUGGUUUGCACGCCGAGGUAAUGAUUAAAAGGGACGGUUGGGGUUCUUCGUAUUCAAUUGUCAGAGGUGAAAUUCUUGGAUUUAUGGAAGACGAACUGCUGCGAAAGCGUCGAACAAGGACGUUCUCA
rnacentral:rRNA from 1 species